CGAGCGAACACUUUGGUCAGAUUCUUCGGAUGAAGACUUUAGUGACUGAGCGGCGGACGGGUGAGUAACGCGUGGGUAACCUGCCUCAUACAGGGGGAUAACAGUUAGAAAUGACUGCUAAUACCGCAUAAGACCACAGAGCCGCAUGGCCCGGUGGUAAAAACUCCGGUGGUAUGAGAUGGACCCGCGUCCGAUUAGCUGGUUGGUGGGGUAACGGCCUACCAAGGCGACGAUCAGUAGCCGACCUGAGAGGGUGACCGGCCACAUUGGGACUGAGACACGGCCCAAACUCCUACGGGAGGCAGCAGUGGGGAAUAUUGCACAAUGGGCGAAAGCCUGAUGCAGCGACGCCGCGUGAAGGAUGAAGUAUUUCGGUAUGUAAACUUCUAUCAGCAGGGAAGAAAAUGACGGUACCUGACUAAGAAGCCCCGGCUAACUACGUGCCAGCAGCCGCGGUAAUACGUAGGGGGCAAGCGUUAUCCGGAUUUACUGGGUGUAAAGGGAGCGUAGACGGCGAUGCAAGCCAGAUGUGAAAGCCCGGGGCUCAACCCCGGGACUGCAUUUGGAACUGUGUGGCUGGAGUGUCGGAGAGGCAAGUGGAAUUCCUAGUGUAGCGGUGAAAUGCGUAGAUAUUAGGAGGAACACCAGUGGCGAAGGCGGCUUGCUGGACGAUGACUGACGUUGAGGCUCGAAAGCGUGGGGAGCAAACAGGAUUAGAUACCCUGGUAGUCCACGCCGUANACGAUGACUACUAGGUGUCNGGUAGCAAAGCUAUUCGGUGCC
rnacentral:rRNA from 1 species